ensembl:lncRNA
GGGGAACAGUAGAGGGAGAACAGGGAACAGCAGAGGGAGAACGGGGAACAGCAGAGGGAGAACAGUGAACAGCAGAGGGAGAACGGGGAACAGUAGAGGGAGAACGGGGAACAGCAGAGGGAGAACAGGGAACAGCAGAGGGAGAACAGGAACAGCAGAGAGAGAACUGGGAACAGCAGAGGGAGAUCGGGGAACAGCAGAGGGAGAACAGUGAACAGCAGAGGGAGAUCGGGGAACAGCAGAGGGAGAACAGGGAACAGCAGAGGGAGAACAGGGAACAGCAGAGGGAGAACGGGGAACAGCAGAGGGAGAACUGGGAACAGCAGAGGGAGAUCGGGGAACAGCAGAGGGAGAACAGUGAACAGCAGAGGGAGAUCGGGGAACAGCAGAGGGAGAACAGGGAACAGCAGAGGGAGAACAGGGAACAGCAGAGGGAGAACGGGGAACAGCAGAGGGAGAACAGUGAACAGCAGAGGGAGAACAGGGAACAGCAGAGGGAGAACGGGGGA